CGGCAUUUACAUAUGUUGAAUCGAAAUCGUAUAUAUUGAAUGAAAAGACAUCGCAAACCUUAGACUUUAGUGUCGUUCUCAGGGACUAUAAUAUUUGACAAAAAAUAGUAAAAGACCCCAUGCAGUGCUGCAAAAUGGGUGGAGGCUGGCGUGAAGUUGUGAAGCAAGAUAUGUGGCUUGAAACUCACUUACGCAUUUGGCCCAUUUCGAUGAACGUAUCAGGCGAGAAACUGCUCCUCAUGCAGAGUACAUAUAUGUGUAAAAGUCUUCGCCUCCGUGAUGGCGAUAACCUCCUUAUUCGAUUAAAAUGACUGCCCGGCUACUGAAGUUUUCGACAUCACAACUAACCGAGUGAAGUUCACUGACAGGACUAUUUCUUAGUCUUUGCUGUGUACCAGUCACAAAACGACACAAAAACCCUUGCGCUUAAAUAAUGUUAAACAAUGUUUUAAAGUGGUCCCACCUUUGCACGUGCGGCAUACAUCAAGCCGAAAGUUUUCCUCUGCCUAAUAUUUGAAACAGGAUAAUGUUGACGCGGUAUUUUCAGACCAAUAUUCCUACUCUCUCAGUUAUCUUGCUUAAUUGGCGAUCUGCCAACACAAAAUGUUGUUAGCCUUUUUCGUUAAUGUUUGUUAAACCAAUUUUUGACACUCGCAAUCGAAGAAAAAGAUAGAAGAAAAUUCACCAGCAUCCAAGUAUUGACAAUAUUUUGCAAUUACCCUUCUCAAACCAAGAACCGAAUCAUUUACUGACCCUUUUCCAGGUUUCUAAAAUCCGCUGACGUUUCCGCUUGUUAUCAAUACAAAUCCAUUGCAUUGCCCAGAACAAUUACACAAGUUUAGUAUUUUUACAUAUUUAAUUUAAUUUAUGUUUACAAAAGUACAAAUAACCAUUCAUAUUAAGGUACACAUAUAAUUCGAUUUUUGGGACGACUUUCGAAUUCGUUAUAUACAUGCAUAUACAUACAUAGAUG